GACGAACGCUGGCGGCGUGCUUAACUCAUGCAAGUCGAACGGUAAGGCCCUUCGGGGUACACGAGUGGCGAACGGGUGAGUAACACGUGGGUGAUCUGCCCUGCACUUCGGGAUAAGCCUGGGAAACUGGGUCUAAUACCGGAUAGGACCACUGCCUGCAUGGGUGGUGGUGGAAAGCUUUUGCGGUGUGGGAUGGGCCCGCGGCCUAUCAGCUUGUUGGUGGGGUGAUGGCCUACCAAGGCGACGACGGGUAGCCGGCCUGAGAGGGUGACCGGCCACACUGGGACUGAGAUACGGCCCAGACUCCUACGGGAGGCAGCAGUGGGGAAUAUUGCACAAUGGGCGCAAGCCUGAUGCAGCGACGCCGCGUGAGGGAUGACGGCCUUCGGGUUGUAAACCUCUUUCAGCACCGACGAAGCGCAAGUGACGGUAGGUGCAGAAGAAGGACCGGCCAACUACGUGCCAGCCGCCGCCGUAAUAC
rnacentral:rRNA from 1 species